rnacentral:rRNA from 1 species
GAUGAACGCUAGCGGCAGGCUUAAUACAUGCAAGUCGAGGGGUCAGCAAUGACACCGGCGGACGGGUGCGUAACGCGUAUGCAACCUACCUACAUCAGGGGGAUAGCCCUAGGAAACUGGGAUUAACACCGCAUAAUAUUAUUAAUGGCAUCAUUGAUAAUUGAAAUAUUUAUAGGAAGUAGAUGGGCAUGCGUAAGAUUAGCUAGUUGGUAAGGUAACGGCUUACCAAGGCUACGAUCUUUAGGGGCUCUGAGAGGAGUAUCCCCCACACUGGCACUGAGAUACGGGCCAGACUCCUACGGGAGGCAGCAGUAGGGAAUAUUGGGCAAUGGAGGCAACUCUGAACCCAGCCAUGCCGCGUGCAGGAAGACGGCCCUCUGGGUUGUAAACUGCUUUUGAAUGGGAAGAAUGUGUGGCUUGCGAGCUAUAAUGACGGUACCAUUAGAAUAAGCCACGGCUAACUACGUGCCAGCAGCCGCGGUAAAACGUA